AAAAAAGUGGCCGAGUGGUUAAGGCGUCAGACUAGAAAUCAGAUUCCCUCUGGGAGCGUAGGUUCGAGUCCUACCGACUGCGUCCUUUUUUU